GACGAACGCUGGCGGCGUGCUUAAUACAUGCAAGUCGAACGGAAAGGCCCUGCUCUUGUUGGGUGCUCGAUUGGCGAACGGGUGAGUAACACGUGAGUAACCUGCCCUUGACUUUGGGAUAACUUCUGGAAACUGGGGCUCAUACCGGAUAUGAUCUCUUGCUGCAUGUUGGUGGUUAGAGAGUUUCGGCGGUUGUGGAUGGACUCGCGGCUUAUCAGCUGCUUGGUGUGGUAGUGGCUUACCAAGGCUUUGACGGGUAGCCGGCCUGAGAGGGUGACCGGCGACAUUGGGACUGAGAUACGGACCAGAAUCGUACGGGAGGCAGCAGUGGGGAAUAUUGCACAAUGGCCGGAAGCCUGAUGCAGCAACGCUGCGUGCGUGAUGCCCGGCUUCGGGGUGUAAACAGAUUUCGAAUGUGAUGAAGCGUGAGUGACGGUAAUGGGUCAAGAAGCCACGGCUAACUACGUG
rnacentral:rRNA from 1 species